UACGGGGGGGGCAAGCGUUGCUCGGAAUUACUGGGCGUAAAGGGCUCGUAGGCGGCCAACUAAGUCAGACGUGAAAUCCCUCGGCUUAACCGGGGAACUGCGUCUGAUACUGGAUGGCUUGAGUUUGGGAGAGGGAUGCGGAAUUCCAGGUGUAGCGGUGAAAUGCGUAGAUAUCUGGAGGAACACCGGUGGCGAAGGCGGCAUCCUGGACCGACACUGACGCUGAUGAGCGAAAGCCAGGGGAGCAAACGGG
rnacentral:rRNA from 1 species